rnacentral:rRNA from 1 species
UACGUAGGGUGCAAGCGUUGUCCGGAAUUAUUGGGCGUAAAGAGCUUGUAGGCGGUCUGUCGCGUCGGAUGUGAAAACCCAGGGCUCAACCCUGGGCCUGCAUUCGAUACGGUCAGACUAGAGUUCGGUAGGGGAGACUGGAAUUCCUGGUGUAGCGGUGAAAUGCGCAGAUAUCAGGAGGAACACCGGUGGCGAAGGCGGGUCUCUGGGCCGAAACUGACGCUGAGGAGCGAAAGCGUGGGGAGCAAACAGG